AGUGAACGCUGGCGGUAGGCCUAAUACAUGCAAGUCGAACGGCUGCACAAUAAGUGCUUGCUCUUACGGGUGGCGAGUGGCGGUCGGGUGAGGAAUACAUCGGAAUCUUCUUUUUCGUGGGGGAAAACGUAGGGCAACUUACGCUAAUACCUCAUACGACCUACGGGUGAAAGCAAGGGAUCUUCGGACUUUGCGCGAUUGAAUGAGCCGAUGUCGGAUUAGCUAGUUGGCGGGGUAAAGGCCCACCAAGGCGACGAUCCGUAGCUGGUCUGAGAGGAUGAUCAGCCACACUGGAACUGAGACACGGUCCAGACUCCUACGGGAGGCAGCAGUGGGGAAUAUUGGACAAUGGGCGCAAGCCUGAUCCAGCCAUACCGCGUGGGUGAAGAAGGCCUUCGGGUUGUAAAGCCCUUUUGUUGGGAAAGAAAAGCAGCAGAUUAAUACCCCGCUGUUCUGACGGUACCCAAAGAGUAAGCACCGGCUAACUUCGUG
rnacentral:rRNA from 1 species